CUAGUUAGUUGCCCGUGCGUUGCAACGGUGACAUACAAAUUCUGGUGGAUCAACACUGAUCAUGGCUAACCUAUAUCACAACAGGUGAUAUUGUAUAUUUUUAUAUAAGCAUAAUGCAUACCCAUUAGUCUCUCAUAAUAAGACUAUCCGACCUCCAAACAAAUGCUAUCUAAAGAUCUAACUAAUAUCAAAAAUUCUAACAACACCAUGCUUAUGCUCAAUCAAAGCAUCUCUUCCCGACCUAUGGGCCCAUUUUCUUUCACAUCAAGCCAUUCCAUGAGCAACAUGGACGAGCUCACCAACAUAAAUCUGAUGCUGCAAAGCAGCGACAUCCGGUAGUAUCUGAUAAUCUGCAUGUGUUAAAUGAAUAAUUAGUUACCAUUAUCAUUAGAGAGUGGCACAUAUUGCUUUCAAACGGAAGAAUGUGUUCAAGUCUAAACCAUAAAUAAACAGUAACACACCCUUAAGAGAAGUAACCCUCGUGCAUGACACCCAAUCUAAUAGCAUCAGUAUGAAAUGGCAAGUCGGGUCAGCUAGAGGAUAUAAUAAGAACAAACAUAGCAAUCAAUAGAAAAAACCAUAGGAUCAUAUACACCAAAGUGACUCAUUCUGCCUUCUUAAAAAGAAUAAUCACCUUCAAUUUAAAGAUCAGUGCUUGCAUAGAAUUGUACUUGGAGAGAAACAUCACUUUUAACAAUUUGAAUAUUUUUGUUUUCAAAUAAUUCACUUGUUCCAAAAGGCCUCUUCCCACAUGUAACCGACUGGCAAUUUACUUUUCAAAUAAUUCAAUUGUUCCAAUAAUUGACUCUCUCAAGGUCAGCAUAACUAAAAAGGGAACACAAGUAUAGAUGACAAAUUCUUGACCUUAACAUAUGUGUCUUAUGUGAUCAUGGAGUAGUGACUCCGUGAACAGAUUGUUAACAAACUAAAGAGCGAUACAACCUACAAUUUCACUUGAUCUCUGAAGCGAUGAACAAUGCAAUUUUCCUAGUCAAAUAAUAAAUGGUAAAUCCAGACAUAGGUAGGAAAUCUAAGGAACUGAACAUGGAUAAAUUGGAUUAAGUGGACGUGGUUAUGUCCCUGACAGUUCAUGCAGAGAAAUAUUAUGAUGUAUCACACUUCAUUCCGACUAACAAGCUGAAAAUACAUACCUCGAUCGUGCACUCCAUGUCAGCAUGAGGUGCUACCGCUUAUUACCCCGGUGAACCGCCCCAUUCCCAAAGUCAUUUCACAUGAACUACUUGACCUAGCUAGCAAAACAAAAAAUACAUCAGAAAAGAUGCCAAGUGCGAUGGUCACAAACUCACAGUUACAAAUCUGGGCAAACACGCAUAGAUCAAGUGUAGUUAUAGAUCUCCAGAUUUUGCAAAUCUUCUAUUACUAUACUGAAGCAGCGCUACUAUGUACCAUCUUCCAAAAAAAGUGUAAGCACAACCCAAUGCAGAUCAUGAGGGCAUUGGCUGAUGGGUUGACCACUUGACCACCAAAAAUCCCCUGUGCUGCAAGAAUUGACAACAAAAACAUGUUUCAUACCCUCAUGCAUAAGAAAGAAUACGCAUGCUCAGUACUUCGAAGUGAUCAAUUUCUUGAUCCGCAAUUUGUAUUGAGUCCUAUGUGGAAAAAAUGGAUCAGAAAGGAAUUAAAAGAGCACAUCAAUUUGUGAGGCAGCUGUUGCUGCCUCUGAAGUUGAGACCAGCACAGGCGAGCUGCUCCCACCCCAGCCACAAUCAUGUUCCCGCUGUCCCAAACGAAUCUCCGCUCAACUGCUAAGUUGAACGGAGGCCAUCCCAAAAACAAAUAUUCUUAGUUAAACCGUGACAACAUAGAGCCUCUUGAAGUAGACAGAAGGGAAAGGGGGUUGCAGCUUGCCUGACUUCACUGCAAAGUUGGUCGACAGACCUUACGACAGCUUUGUCAAUAAGAAUAGGAAGCAUGCUAUUACAUGAAUCAAGAGAGGUUGUGAAACGGAGAGAAUGGUGGUGGUGGAAGGGUGGAGCCGUCUCCAACACUUGGACCAUCAAGAAGACCAAACUGCUUAAUUUGACUUGCCUCAGUCCAAACCAUAAUUGUGUCUACUACAAUUGGUAUUGGAACAUAUAAAACAUACCCUUAAUGUUAAUCAGCAAUAACAGAGCACACAUUAAUAACACAAGGGCAAAUCAUUGUGGGUGUGUACGCAGAAGUUGAAUAUAAUGCAAUCCAAUUACUUUAUGAGAUGUAGAGAUAUAUAGCAAAUCACUGUGUCUUCCACGACAACGCAAGGUUACAAUUCCUUAAUCUACAAAAUAGGACAACUCAGAUUUCGUGCAAUUUGCAUAAUCAAAAGAGGAAGUUUCUAUAAAUAAAUUCACACAUACGAUGUGUUUCCACAAUAAAAAGAAGACCCGAGUGACUUUUAUCAAACAAUGUUUUGCCAAUUUAAGGAUUGAACACAACCUAUUCAUGAGAUUAAAAGAAUGAGAAAACAUACAUUCUACAUUCAUAAAUUUGGUGCUAUAAGUAUUCAUCUAGGUCACAAAACAUCAAACAAUAAGCCCAUGCCGGCGUCGCUUGCCAGAUUUCUACCGGCGACCUCCUCUGGAUACCUGCUCCUCCAACGGUCCCACCGCCUCCCGUCGUCCUUUUC
rnacentral:lncRNA from 1 species